UAUGGAGCAGAACUCACAGCAUUAGACACUGCCACUGUUGAAGCAGAGUGGCUUCGUGAACUCUUGAUAGACUUACCUAUGGUUGAAAAACUAAUACCCCCUAUCCUGAUGAACUGUGAUAAUCAAACUAUGGUCGUCAAGAUAAACAGUUCGAAGGACAAUAUGAAGUCCUCAAGACAUGUGAAGAGGAGACUAAAAUCUGUCAGAAAAUUGAGGAACUCCGGAGUUAUUACGUUGGAUUAUAUCCAAACAUCGAAAAAAUUGGCAGAUCCAUUCACAAAGGGUCUAUCACGUAAUGUGAUAGAUAAUGCAUCGAUGGAGAUGGGUCUGAGACCCACC
rnacentral:rRNA from 1 species